AAAGCCUACAGCUCAACUGUAGAACUGCCAUUGAUACUGUAUGACUUGAAUUCGAUCGAAGUGGGCGGAAUAUGACAUGUAGCGGUGAAAUGCUUAGAUAUGUCAUAGAACACCGAUAGCGAAGGCAGCUCACUAGGUCUGGAUUGACGCUCAGGGACGAAAGCGUGGGGAGCAAAACAGGAUUAGAUACCCUGGUAGUCCACGCCGUAAACUAUCAAUACUCGUUCUCAGCUCUUUAGGAGUUGGGGACCAAGCGAAAGUGAUAAGUAUUGCACCUGGGGAGUACGAUCGCAAGGUUGAAACUCAAAGGAAUUGACGGGGGCCCGCACAAGCGGUGGAGCAUGUGGUUAAUUCGAUGAUACGCGAGGAACCUUACCAGGGCUUAAAUGCAGAACGCAUAUAGUGGAACAUUAUAGUCUUCGGACGGUCUGCAAGGUGCUGCAUGGCUGUCGUCAGCUCGUGCCGUGAGGUGUUGGGUUAAGU
rnacentral:rRNA from 1 species